rnacentral:misc_RNA from 1 species
GAUUAAGAACGUAGCGAAAUGCGAUAAGUAAUGUGAAUUGCAGAAUUCAGUGAAUCAUCGAAUCUUUGAACGCACAUUGCGCCCGCCAGUAUUCUGGCGAGCAUGCCUGUUCGAGCGUCAUUUCAACCAUCAAGCCCCAGGCUUGUGUUGGAGCCCUGCGGCUGCCGCAGCCUCCCAAAACCAGUGGCGGGCUCGCUAUCACACCGAGUGCAGUAGUUUACUCUUCGCUCAGGGCGUGUGGCGGGUGCUAGCCGUGAAACCCCCAACUUCUCAAGGUUGACCUCGGAUCAGGUAGGAAUACCCGCUGAACUUAAGCAUAUCAAUAAGCGGAGGA